rnacentral:rRNA from 1 species
ACGGGGCCGCACAAGCGGUGGAGCAUGUGGUUUUAAUUCGAUUGCAACGCGAAGAACCUUACCUAGACUUGACAUCCGGGAAUCCUUAGGAAACUAAGGAGUGCCUUUCGGGGAGCCCGGAGACAGGUGGUGCAUGGUUGUCGUCAGCUCGUGCCGUGAGGUGUUGGGUUUAAGUCCCGCAACGAGCGCAACCCCUAUUGAUAGUUUGCUAAUAUUAAGUUUAAGGACUCUAUUGAGACUGCCAGCGACAAGCUGGAGAAGGUGGGGAUGACGUCAAAUCAUCAUGCCCUUUAUGACCUGGGCUACAAACGUACUACAAUGGCCAGAUACAAAGAGAUGCGAAGCCGCGAGGUGGAGCGAACCUCAUAAAAAUGGUCUCAGUUCGGAUUGGAGUCUGCAACUCGACUCCAUGAAGUCGGAAUCGCUAGUAAUCGCGGGUCAGCAGACCGCGGUGAAUACGUUCCCGGGUUUU